AGCAAGGUUCCAAAGAGGACGUCCUUGCUAUACAUAAUCUGCGGAUGGGUCAAUCUCUGUCGUCCAUUUCUUUAAAUGAAAAGCAACGGCUUGGAUCGAUCUCUUCCCAAAAACCCAUCGCUCGUCGAAGUAGAAAACCAAAGUUGGACUGUAGACUCUCCACUUUGGUUGCAUCGAAGGCUCUGGUUCUCUUUCUCCACCCAAAAUCCAAAACUUCUCAACUCCAAAUACCAUAAACUCAUCUCAGGUUGCAACAAUCGUGCAACCGAAGCUUUCUUUUUUUCUUUUCUCUCAUGAAAAUUGUAGCUCUCUUAUGGUCCCGACAUCCCUUGGAGUUUUCGCGCCAAAAGUUGGAGACUUGGAAGCAGAGAAACACAUCUAGAUUUCAAAUAAAUGGAGUCAGAGGAUGAUCAAGUUUAUAUUCCUCAAGUAAAGGCAGAGUUGUUCAUCAUCUCAUUUAGCAGAAUAAUGUCUCAAACAUAUCAGUUCACUACCAGAAAACAUGCUCUCUAAGGGGGCUCAGCUGAGAAAGCACAUUGAUGCAACACUAGGCAGUGGGAACCUAAGAGAAUCAGUAAAGCUUCCAACUGGAGAAGAUUUAAAUGAGUGGCUUGCUGUCAACACAGCAAAUGGGAAGAGAAACUGAUGUUUGAGUGGGAGGAGAGUAGUAAUCAAGAUCUGAUUAAGCAGGAGAUUAUUGUUUGUUUAAAGAAGUUAUACCUCCAGCAGAAGUGUUGCCUUCAUGAUGCAUUUUUAAUGGCUAGAUAUAUUUCAAACAAUUUUAUAGACGUUUAGUGGUCAAUAAGUAGUGGAAAAGGUCAGAGGUGAGUAGGAAAAUUAUGGAAAGUUGACUGACUUGCUGUCAAUGCUGACGUGUUUGUUUAUACAAUUAUUCAUAACUACUGUGAAAGGCAAAAGGUGCUCAAUUGUAAUACAUAAGAUGCAGCAAAAUGAAGCAUCAAGGUCCUCCCAUUUGCCUACUCAAUCCAUUUGAUAUUUGUC